rnacentral:rRNA from 1 species
UCUUGGUCAUUUAGAGGAAGUAAAAGUCGUAACAAGGUCUCCGUUGGUGAACCAGCGGAGGGAUCAUUACCGAGUUUACAACUCCCAAACCCCUGUGAACAUACCUAUACGUUGCCUCGGCGGAUCAGCCCGCGCCCUGUAAAAAGGGACGGCCCGCCCGAGGACCCUAAACUCUGUUUUUAGUGGAACUUAUGAGUAAAACAAACAAAUAAAUCAAAACUUUCAACAACGGAUCUCUUGGUUCUGGCAUCGAUGAAGAACGCAGCAAAAUGCGAUAAGUAAUGUGAAUUGCAGAAUUCAGUGAAUCAUCGAAUCUUUGAACGCACAUUGCGCCCGCCAGUAUUCUGGCGGGCAUGCCUGUUCGAGCGUCAUUUCAACCCUCAAGCUCAGCUUGGUGUUGGGACUCGCGGUAACCCGCGUUCCCCAAAUCGAUUGGCGGUCACGUCGAGCUUCCAUAGCGUAGUAAUCAUACACCUCGUUACUGGUAAUCGUCGCGGCCACGCCGUAAAACCCCAACUUCUGAAUGUUGACCUCGGAUCAGGUAGGAAUACCCGCUGAACUUAAGCAUAUCAAUAAGC